rnacentral:lncRNA from 1 species
AUGCAAUAUUGUCUAGAUUAAAUUCAGUUGAAAAUAUAAAAUCUUCUUCAACUACAUUAAUGAAUACAAGUGAGUAUGAAAGUAUAAAAAGAAUCACAUACCCUAGCACAUACGACGAAAAUAAAGAUGAAAUAAAAAAAUAUUCUAGCCCUAUCGAAUUAGUAGGUGGUGAAAAACAUGAAAUUGUGUUAGAAAUUUCAUAUUCAGGACAUUUAAAAUAUAAUAAAAUUGAAACUAGUUUUUUUAAAUUGUUAUGGAAAUCAAGCAGAAUAGAUAUACAGGUAAUACAAAGUAGUUAUUUUUUUAGUGAAAAUGUUAUUCCACCUACUAGAUUUUCAUUGAUAGAUGCAGAUUUAUUUGAAAUAGGUUUGUUAGAUCAAAAUGAGACGAUAUAUAAAAAAGAAUAUGAUAAAAUUCUAGUUAGUAAUAUGGAAGAGGGUGAGAAAAAGGAAGGGUAUGAACAAAAUGUAUCUAACUGGGUAGUAGAAUCUGUACCAACAAAAUACAUUAACUUACAUACGUUAAAAACUAAUAUGAAUCCUAAUUUUACAACAUUUCGUAUAUCAAUUAAUACAGGUUCUAUUUUAUUUAUUGCUUUUCCAGAUGAAGAUAAUUUACCAGUUAGUCCAGUAAAAGAAUCUGCUUGGCAAGCAUAUGACACAAGUGAUAUGAUUGAAGUAAAAAACAAAAUAACAAAUGAGAAAAUAAAAUUUAAAAUAAAAUAUAUUUCAUUAAAAAAUAAAACAAUAUUAACAUUUAAGUUAAUGAAAAAUGUACCUUUUUUUUUUUUUUUACAAAAAAGAAAAAUAUUACCAACAAUAUGUAAUGGUGAAGAAGAAAUAUUAUCAAAUCCGAAAAAUCGAGCAUUUAAAAGUUGUACUGAAUCGUCUAUAUUAUCUAAACAUUUUGAUUGUUUAGCUGGUUUGAACGGUUUAUAUAAAGAUACAAAAUAUAAUGUAUGGCGAAGUUACAAUGGUUCGAUUGGUGAAUAUAUAAAAGUAUUUUUUCAUACGUCUGUACAAAUUAAUAAAUUUAAAUUUAAACCGAGAGACGAUAUAUUAACAUGGCCAUCAGAAAUAGAGCUACAUUUUGAUGACAAUAAAAUUACUGUUCCCAUUUUACAUACAUAUAAUAAAGAAUAUAACACUACCAAAUUAGAACACCCUGUUAUUACUACUUCGGUAAAAAAUAGAAAUUAAAGACAUGUUUAGAAAUAGCCAUGAAACUGGCGGUUCUUUUGAAUUAAUAGGAAAUAUUUGUAACAU